UGAGCAAUGCGCCUUUGAAUCAGCUGUAUUCAUUAAUGCACCCCUGCCGUGGGACAAGGCCAACCGCUCA
rfam:Caenorhabditis remanei uncharacterized protein (GCK72_008914), partial mRNA